AUGGCACUCUGGAAAUUUAAUAUUGUGAUCAUAGUUUUAUAUAUCUGGGGUUGUAAUUCUCAAUCUCAAGACAAAGUUGAUCAGCACACAAGGAUUCAAUCUGCUUUUGAAGGUGAUACUGUAACGAUCGACUGUACAUAUGAGGCUACUUAUACAGGCCCGACUCUCUUCUGGUACCAGCAGAAAGAAAAUGGAAAUCCAAAACACAUGUUAAAUAAAUUCUCUAAAUCUGGAAACAGUGAGGAAGAAUUCAAGGAGAGAUUUCAUGCAAAUCUCAGCACAACUUCAGUUCCACUGACAAUCCAGGAUGUCCGUGUGUCUGACUCUGCUGUGUACUACUGUGCUCUGAGGCCCACAGAGAAAACAUUUGUGAUUGUAACUGUUCCUCAGGUGUGA